GGGCAUUUGGCACAGUGGUAGCGCGCACGCUUCGCAUUUGAUAAUGCCUGCGUGAGGUCCAGGGUUCAAUCCCCUGAAUGUCCA
rfam:Fomitopsis pinicola FP-58527 SS1 unplaced genomic scaffold FOMPIscaffold_68, whole genome shotgun sequence.